rnacentral:rRNA from 1 species
CGAACGGGUGAGUAAUGCGUGACCAACCUGCCCCAUGCUCCAGAAUAGCUCUUGGAAACGGGUGGUAAUGCUGGAUGCUCCAACUUGACGCAUGUCUUGUUGGGAAAGUGUUUAGUGGCAUGGGAUGGGGUCGCGUCCUAUCAGCUUGUAGGCGGGGUAAUGGCCCACCUAGGCUUCGACGGGUAGCCGGCCUGAGAGGGCGGACGGCCACAUUGGGACUGAGAUACGGCCCAGACUCCUACGGGAGCAGCAGCC